rnacentral:tRNA from 1 species
UCCCUGGUGGUCCAGGGGUUAGCACUUGGUGCUUUCACUGCCAAGGGCCCGGGUUCAAUCCCUGGUUGGGGAA